CCUCGCUGCAGGUCGACGUUUUAUAGAAUAUACAAGAACAAAUCGACUGAAAGUUUCCAGUCUCUACCGUACCAAGUGUCACUAUUUAGCUGCAUGAUAUGACUCUAUUACGCAUUGACUAAACAACACGCUUUUCUCCUAAUUACCAUAAACUCCUUCGGCUGCGUCGUGGAAACUAUCUACAUCGCCAUGUUCUUCACUUACGCUACCAAGGAGAAAAGGAUGGCGGCUAUUAAGUUGUUCU